CCAGGCUCGGUUGUAGCGUUGGCAGCCACCGACCCCAUUGAUGCCUGCUGAGUUGCCACACCAGAUGCUUUUUCCUCGAUUUGUGUCGUCUCGAGUUCUG